AACGAACGCUGGCGGCAUGCCUAACACAUGCAAGUCGAACGAAGCCUUCGGGCUUAGUGGCGCACGGGUGCGUAACGCGUGGGAAUCUGCCCUCAGGUACGGAAUAACUCAGGGAAACUUGAGCUAAUACCGUAUAAUGACUUCGGUCCAAAGAUUUAUCGCCUGAGGAUGAGCCCGCGUCGGAUUAGCUAGUUGGUGAGGUAAAGGCUCACCAAGGCGACGAUCCGUAGCUGGUCUGAGAGGAUGAUCAGCCACACUGGGACUGAGACACGGCCCAGACUCCUACGGGAGGCAGCAGUGGGGAAUAUUGGACAAUGGGCGCAAGCCUGAUCCAGCAAUGCCGCGUGAGUGAUGAAGGCCUUAGGGUUGUAAAGCUCUUUUACCCGGGAAGAUAAUGACUGUACCGGGAGAAUAAGCCCCGGCUAACUCCGUGCCAGCCGCCGCAGUAA
rnacentral:rRNA from 1 species